rnacentral:rRNA from 1 species
CCUACGGGUGGCAGCAGUGAGGAAUAUUGGUCAAUGGACGAAAGUCUGAACCAGCCAAGUAGCGUGAAGGAUGACUGCCCUCCGGGUUGUAAACUGCUUUUAUAAAGGAAUAAAACGAGGCUCGUGUGCCUCUUUUCGUGUACUUCAUGAAUAAAGAUCGGCUAAAACCGUGACCGCAGACGCGGUAAUACGGAGGAUGCGCGCGUUAUCCGGAUUUUUUGGGGUUAAAGGGAGCGUAGAUGGGUUGUUAAGUCAGUUGUGAAAGUUUUCGGCUCAACCGUAGAAUUGCAGUUGUUACUGGCAGUCUUGAGUGCACUUAGGGUUGGCGGAAUUCAUGGUGUAGCGGUGAAAUGCUUAGAUAUCACGAAGAACCCCGAUUGCGAAGGCAGGUUACUAAGCUGUGACUGACAUUGAGGCUCGAAAGUGUGGGUAUCAAACAGGAUUAGAUACCCGAGUAGUA